GAAACUAAACAGGAUUCCCACAGUAAUGGCGAAUGAACGUGGAGGAGCUCAACAUGAGAAUUGUGGCCUUCGGCCUUGAAUUGUAAUCUCAAGAUGUACUGCCAACGGAGGCGCAGGCGUAAGCCUCUUGGAAAAGAGCAUCGUUGAGGGUGAGGAUCCUGUUCGUCUCCUGCAGACCUCCGUGUACGGCGUACKUUCAAAGAGUCACGUUCCUUGGGAUUGGAGCGCAAAUCGGGUGGUAAAUUUCAUCUAAAGCUAAAUAUGGGUUCGAGACCGAUAGCAAACAAGUACCAUGAGGGAAAGAUGAAAAGGACUUUGAAAAGAGAGUUAAAAGUGCCUGAACUCGCUGUAAGGAAAGCGGAUGGAACCAGUCUYGCUUGGCAAGAUUGUCGCGCCGUUGCGCGGGGCUGAAGGGGACAGGUUGAACUUGAAAUUCCUUGUUACCUGGAAGUGCACGCGUGCCGCGAUGUUUCUUGCCUUGCUUGUCACAAGCGGUUUGCGAUUGAAGACGACCUCUCGGGACAUGGAAGCUCGCCCCAGGGUGUGCGAACGUGCCUUGGCAGAACUUAGUCGUAGACUGGCGCUUUGCCCAAGCGGCGGGCGGUAGCCAGCGCAGGUGGUGUGAAAACAGCUUGCGUUGCCCUUUGUUAUCGAGGGGCGCUGGUUUACGCCCGACUAUUGGUGCACUUGCUUUCGUGAUUGAAUGGUUCUAUUCGACCCGUCUUGAAACACGGACCAAGG
rnacentral:rRNA from 1 species